UACAUGGGGUGCAAACGUUGCUCGGAAUCAUUGGGCGUAAAGCGCGCGUAGGCGGUUACACAAGUUGGAUGUGAAAGCCCUCGGCUUAACUGAGGAAGUGCAUCCAAAACUGUGCAGCUAGAGUACUAAAGAGGGUCGCGGAAUUCCCGGUGUAGAGGUGAAAUUCGUAGAUAUCGGGAGGAACACCGGUGGCGAAGGCGGCGACCUGGGCCAAUAUUGACGCUGAGGUGCGAAAGCGUGGGGAGCAAACAGG
rnacentral:rRNA from 1 species